rnacentral:rRNA from 1 species
AGAUACCCUAUUAUUUUAUUAGUAAAUUUUGUUAGGGUAUUAAUAGUUAAGUUCUUUAAACCCAAAGAAUUUGGCGGCAUUUUAUUCCAUUCAGAGGAACCUAUCCCGUAAUUGAUAAUACACGAUUUGUUUUACUUAAUUUAUUAGUUUGUAUAUCUCCGUUAUUAGAUGAUCUUUUUAGAGUAUAUAAUUUUCUUAAUUCUUGAUUGGGAAAAAUUUCAGGUCAAGGUGCAGCUUAUAAUUAAGAGGUGAUGGGUUACAUUAAACUUUAUGUUUUACGGUUUUAUAAAUGUGAAUUUUUAAUUAAGUUGGAUUUGAUAGUAAUUUGUUU